UGCGCAGGCGGCCAGGUGUGUGAGGCGUGAAAGCCCGGGGCUCAACCCCGGAAUUGCACCUCAAACUACAUGGCUAGAGUACUGGAGAGGGUAACGGAAUUCAUGGUGUAGCAGUGAAAUGCGUAGAUAUCAUGAGGAACACCAGUGGCGAAGGCGGUUACCUGGACAGUUACUGACGCUCAGGCACGAAAGCGUGGGGAGCAAAAGGGGUUAGAUACCCCUGUAGUCCACGCCCUAAACUGUGCACACUAGGUCUUGGAGGAUUCGACCCCUUCAGGGCCCAAGCUAACGCGUUAAGUGUGCCGCCUGAGGACUACGGCCGCAAGGCUAAA
rnacentral:rRNA from 1 species